rnacentral:rRNA from 1 species
UUAAGAAUCUUGCACAAUGGGGGCAACCCUGAUGCAGCGACGCCGCGUGGAUGAUGAAGGCUCUCGGGUUGUAAAGUCCAGUAAGCAGGGAAGAAUAAGCGGGGGGUAAUAUUCCUCGUGAUGACGGUACCUGCCUAAAGCCCCGGCUAACUACGUGCCAGCAGCCGCGGUAAUACGUAUGGGGCAAGCGUUGUUCGGAAUUAUUGGGCGUAAAGGGAGUCUAGGCGGGGGAUUAAGUUAGAUGUGAAAGCUAUGGGCUCAACCCAUAAACUGCAUCUAAGACUGGU